rnacentral:ncRNA from 12 species
UGGAGUUGGUAUUAACAUACUAGUUUGUGCUUGAGUUAUCACGAGUGGUACACUCGUUAUCAGCUUGAGAACCCCACAGCUAGCACUGCCGCUCUA